ensembl:snoRNA
UUGUCUCGGAAUCAAGGCUGGCAGUUUGUUCAAACUGUUGUUUUCAAAGAGGAGCCUAAAGAAACCUCUUUCUAUGGUCUGUUGGCUAUUUCAGAAACGUGAAAAUGUAAUGGUCAAUUCAUUAAAAAGAAACAUCU